rnacentral:rRNA from 1 species
CCUACGGGAGGCAGCAGUAAGGAAUAUUGGGCAAUGGGCGAAAGCCUGACCCAGCAACGCCGCGUGAGGGACGAAGGCCUUCGGGUUGUAAACCUCUUUUCUGGGGGACGAGACCAGGACGGUACCUCAGGAAUAAGUCUCGGCUAACUACGUGCCAGCAGCCGCGGUAAGACGUAGGAGGCGAGCGUUAUCCGGAUUUACUGGGCAUAAAGCGCACGCAGGCGGCUUCGUUAGUCGGAUGUGAAAGCUCCUGGCUUAACUGGGAGAGGCCAUUCGAUACUGCGGGGCGUGAGGUUGGAAGAGGGGUGUGAAAUUCCCGGUGUAGGGGUGGAAUGCGUAGAUAUCGGGAGGACCAAUAGUGGCGAAGGCGGUCUCCUGGGGUGCAACUGACACUGAGGCCCGAAGGCGUGGGGAGCGAACAGGAUUAGAUACCCCGGUAGU